rnacentral:rRNA from 1 species
AUGCUCCUGUUUUUUCAAAUGUGUUUUAAACGUAUUUUAAAAUGUCACAAAAUUUUGGCAAAAUGUUUUGGGCGUACAUCUCGACAUUCUAUAUACUCACAAAGUUGUUUCGUGGAAAAACAGAUAAUUUUUGUGUUGCGUGUGAAAAAGAUAAAAUUUGGUGUUGCAAAGGGCUUUUCACUAGACAUUUUUUUGUCUUUUUUACGCAAACCACAAAAAAUGCUGGUUUUAUGUGAAACUUGGCGUGCCUGCAUAGAAUAUGAAGAUGUACACGUUAAAUUUUUGUUUGAAUUUUUUUGA